rnacentral:rRNA from 1 species
GACGAAGGAUGCAAGCGUUAUCCGGAUUCAUUGGGUUUAAAGGGUGCGUAGGCGGACUGAUAGGUCAGUGGUGAAAUCUCUCAGCUUAACUGAGAAACUGCCAUUGAUACUGUCGGUCUAGAGUAUAGAUGACGUUGGCGGAAUAUGACAUGUAGUGGUGAAAUACUUAGAUAUCGUCAAGAACACCGAUAGCGAAGGCAGCUUACUAGGCUGUAACUGACGCUGAGGCACGAAAGUGUGGGGAUCAAACAGG